CCUACGGGCGGCAGCAGUGAGGAAUAUUGGUCAAUGGGCGAGAGCCUGAACCAGCCAAGUCGCGUGAGGGAGUACUGCCCUAUGGGUUGUAAACCUCUUUUGUCGGGGAGCAAAAGCCGGACGUGUCCGGCUGUGAGAGUACCCGAAGAAAAAGCAUCGGCUAACUCCGUGCCAGCAGCCGCGGUAAUACGGAGGGUGCGAGCGUUAAUCGGAAUUACUGGGCGUAAAGCGCUCGUAGGCGGUAUGUCAAGUCAAGGGUGAAAUCCCCGCGCUCAACGUGGGAACUGCCUUUGAAACUGGCAAACUGGAGUGUGUGAGAGGAUAGUGGAAUUCCAGGUGUAGGAGUGAAAUCCGUAGAUAUCUGGAGGAACAUCAGUGGCGAAGGCGACUAUCUGGCACAUAACUGACGCUGAGGAGCGAAAGCGUGGGUAGCAAACAGGAUUAGAUACCCUUGUAGUC
rnacentral:rRNA from 1 species